rnacentral:misc_RNA from 1 species
CACUCCAGCAAGAACCAAAAACUAGAGGUACAAAAGCGUAGAUUGCCCAAAUCACGCGCCCUACUGAACCUGUAGCCAGAAACGCAGGCAGGGCCUCGGAAGCUGGUCGGUCGAGAACGUCGGGAUAAUCCAUUGAGGCUGCAAGGUAAGCGAAAAUGCCGACGAAGGCGAGGGCACCGACCACCAGGCUCAGGCUGCCAAUUUCAAUGAUUGUUGGAUGACGCAUUGGAUCUCGCUGGUGAUGAUGAAGUGCAGGCUAACAUGUAUAGCACUGGAUGGGGUAGUGCAGGGGAGGUUUGUUUUUUAGGUGUAGUGGACAGCAAGAUUUCCAGAGCCACGUUGUACCG